rnacentral:lncRNA from 1 species
AGAGAGAGUCUCUUAGUGUAUUCAUCAGGGAAUCAAGUUCCUUCCACCUGGGUCACCAACUUCUAUGGUCUUGGGAGUCCUCUACUGAACUUUAUUGGAAGAUAAGAAAAGAGAGCAUAGAGAGGUAGCAUAACAGAAACAAAGAAAGCCACAGGCUGCUAGAGAUGACUCCUGCCAAGGUGGCAGCAGUAGGAGCCUAUAACCAACAGAUGAGAGGUGUAAAGCUCAUACAUGCUGCCCUCAUGGCCAUCUGGAUCUUGCCAGCAGAAGGCCCACUCUGCAGUUAAAGAAGUUGGAAAAUAGUGAAAGCACCCAAUUCAGACCAUAACAACUGAAUCCAAACCUUGGUUCUGCAGAAUCCUGAAAAGUAAGUCUUAGCAUUUGCUCUAAUAACAUCCAUUGUCCUGGAUGCACAGAUGAAAUAGCAUAUGUAGAAGAACUUUAUGAUCUAUAAAGCAUUAAAGAUAAACUCAAGGUCUUGUUCCCUAAGGGGCUGUUUUUGAACCUAUGCUAUUAAUAAAGGGGGCAAUAUUGUGCA